UUUAAAGAGUUUUCCUUUGCAGAGGCCUCAUUUCAUCCUUCAUGGAGCUGCUCAGGACUUUGAUUGCAUAUAAGCGCUUGCCUCUUGUCUUCUGCUCUGCUAGUGAGUGUGUGAGACCUUGCAGUGAGUUUGUUUUUCCUGGAAUUGGAGGGAAGGGAGGAGGGGGAUGGGGCUUACUUGUUCUAGCUUUUUUUUACAGACCACACAGAAUGCAGGUGUCUUGACUUCAGGUCUUGUCUGUU
rnacentral:lncRNA from 1 species